CUAUAAAUGUUACUGUACAUUAUUUUGUGCUUUUUGAUAAAACGUUCAUACUAGCAGGGCAGUACCUAUUUAUUUUAUUAGAGCCUUGAGUUUUUAUAUGUCUGAUACCUACACUUUUUUAAUUAUGAUAACUGUUUCUAUGACACUUAUAAUACAUAUAAAUGUGGUCUUCAUUCAAAUGUUUAGCUAAGCCACAAUUUUUUACAUAAUAUGCAUUUGUCUUCGGCUCAAUACCAUGUUUCCAUAUUUUAAAAUCA